GGUGGCUCAGUGGUAGAGUGCUUGCCUUGCAUGCAUAAGACCCUGGGUUCAAUUCCUCAGCACCA
rfam:Dipodomys ordii contig_35182, whole genome shotgun sequence.